rnacentral:rRNA from 1 species
UGCCUAUACAUGCAAGUCGAACGAGCUUCCGUUGAAUGACGUGCUUGCACUGAUUUCAACAAUGAAGCGAGUGGCGAACUGGUGAGUAACACGUGGGGAAUCUGCCCAGAAGCAGGGGAUAACACUUGGAAACAGGUGCUAAUACCGUAUAACAACAAAAUCCGCAUGGAUUUUGUUUGAAAGGUGGCUUCGGCUAUCACUUCUGGAUGAUCCCGCGGCGUAUUAGUUAGUUGGUGAGGUAAAGGCCCACCAAGACGAUGAUACGUAGCCGACCUGAGAGGGUAAUCGGCCACAUUGGGACUGAGACACGGCCCAAACUCCUACGGGAGGCAGCAGUAGGGAAUCUUCCACAAUGGACGAAAGUCUGAUGGAGCAAUGCCGCGUGAGUGAAGAAGGGUUUCGGCUCGUAAAACUCUGUUGUUAAAGAAGAACACCUUUGAGAGUAACUGUUCAAGGGUUGACGGUAUUUAACCAGAAAGCCACGGCUAACUACGUGCCAGCAGCCGCGGUAAUACGUAGGUGGCAAGCGUUGUCCGGAUUUAUUGGGCGUAAAGCGAGCGCAGGCGGUUUUUUAAGUCUGAUGUGAAAGCCUUCGGCUUAACCGGAGAAGUGCAUCGGAAACUGGGAGACUUGAGUGCAGAAGAGGACAGUGGAACUCCAUGUGUAGCGGUGGAAUGCGUAGAUAUAUGGAAGAACACCAGUGGCGAAGGCGGCUGUCUAGUCUGUAACUGACGCUGAGGCUCGAAAGCAUGGGUAGCGAACAGGAUUAGAUACCCUGGUAGUCCAUGCCGUAAACGAUGAGUGCUAAGUGUUGGAGGGUUUCCGCCCUUCAGUGCUGCAGCUAACGCAUUAAGCACUCCGCCUGGGGAGUACGACCGCAAGGUUGAAACUCAAAGGAAUUGACGGGGGCCCGCACAAGCGGUGGAGCAUGUGGUUUAAUUCGAAGCUACGCGAAGAACCUUACCAGGUCUUGACAUCUUCUGCCAAUCUUAGAGAUAAGACGUUCCCUUCGGGGACAGAAUGACAGGUGGUGCAUGGUUGUCGUCAGCUCGUGUCGUGAGAUGUUGGGUUAAGUCCCGCAACGAGCGCAACCCUUAUUAUCAGUUGCCAGCAUUCAGUUGGGCACUCUGGUGAGACUGCCGGUGACAAACCGGAGGAAGGUGGGGAUGACGUCAAAUCAUCAUGCCCCUUAUGACCUGGGCUACACACGUGCUA